rnacentral:rRNA from 1 species
AACCCAAAAAAAAGGUAUUUGAAAGGUGAUGCCUGCCCGGUGACUCACGUUCAACGGCCGCGGUAUCCUAACCGUGCAAAGGUAGCGCAAUCAAUUGUCCCAUAAAUCGAGACUAGUAUGAAUGGCUAAACGAGGUCUUAACUGUCUCUUACAGGCAAUCGGUGAAAUUGAUCUCCCUGUACAAAAGCAGGGAUAAACCCAUAAGACGAGAAGACCCUGUGGAACUUUAAAACCAGCAACCACCUUAAAACACAUACUCACCCACUGGGUUCACUGUCACACAAGCCACUGGUUCGCGUUUUUCGGUUGGGGCGACCUUGGAGCAAAACAGAACCUCCAAAAAUUAGACCAUACCUCUAGACUGAGAGCAACCCCUCAACGUGCUAAUAGCACCCAGACCCAAUAUAAUUGAUCAAUGGACCAAGCUACCCCAGGGAUAACAGCGCAAUCUCCUCCGAGAGUCCAUAUCGACGGGGAGGUUUACGACCUCGAUGUUGGAUCAGGACAUCCUAGUGGUGCAGCCGCUACUAAGGGUUCGUUUGUUCAACGAUUAACAGUCCUACGUGAUCUGAUUCCAGACCAGA